GGCGUAAAGCGCACGCAGGCGGUCUGUUAAGUCAGAUGUGAAAUCCCCGGGCUUAACCUGGGAACUGCAUUUGAAACUGGCAGGCUUGAGUCUCGUAGAGGGGGGUAGAAUUCCAGGUGUAGCGGUGAAAUGCGUAGAGAUCUGGAGGAAUACCGGUGGCGAAGGCGGCCCCCUGGACGAAGACUGACGCUCAGGUGCGAAAGCGUGGGGAGCAAACAGGAUUAGAUACCCUGGUAGUCCACGCCGUAAACGAUGUCGACUUGGAGGUUGUGCCCUUGAGGCGUGGCUUCCGGAGCUAACGCGUUAAGUCGACCGCCUGGGGAGUACGGCCGCAAGGUUAAAACUCAAAUGAAUUGACGGGGGCCCGCACAAGCGGUGGAGCAUGUGGUUUAAUUCGAUGCAACGCGAAGAACCUUACCUGGCCUUGACAUCCAGAGAACUUAGCAGAGAUGCUUUGGUGCCUUCGGGAACUCUGAGACAGGUGCUGCAUGGCUGUCGUCAGCUCGUGUUGUGAAAUGUUGGGUUAAGUCCCGCAACGAGCGCAACCCUUAUCCUUUGUUGCCAGCGGCUCGGCCGGGAACUCACAGGAGACUGCCGGUGAUAAACCGGAGGAAGGUGGGGAUGACGUCUAGUCAUCAUGGCCCCUACGGCCAGGGCUACACACGUGCUAC
rnacentral:rRNA from 1 species